UAGGUUUGAACUAUCUAAUGGGAGGCUAGGCUAGAUACCUUUAUGAGGGCCUACAUACGCUGAUUCACAUUUUCUUGAAUAUAAAAAUCCUUAAUUGAUUGUAAGAAUUUUAACCGUGGUAAUGCACAAACUUGCCGCAAGAUGGCAAGUUAUGACUGCAUUAGGCACCUCAUACCUCACGUCUCUAGCGAGGCAGUCACCAGGAGAAACCAAACUAUGAUCACUGGGAUGGGGAACGAAUGUUUACAAGAAGCAUUUUAUGAAAUCUAGGUUCUUUUUCUCAAGAUUAAAAAUAGUUUCGAAUCUAUUCCUUUGCCUUUUAACUUGCUAGGGUUCUCUGACACAGGAGGGCUAUUUUACACAGUAGUUUCUGGUUUGUUUGUUUUAAAAAGCAAAAAUAAAAAUUGAGACAAAAAUUGAGAUUGUGUUUCUUUAACAUACUUAAGUAUUUUGGGAAUUAUUUGUUAAAAAGUAAUGCAUUUCUGUUUAUUGUUUCUUUUUGUCGGAGACACACGAGUCAAAAGCUGGAGACCAGUGAUUGUAUUUAAGAGCAGGAAUACAAGAACAUUCCUACCUCUCCGUUGCUAUUCCCUGUCUGAUCCUUACACUAUCAUUCUUACCAGUGGAGGAAAUCUGUUCAGUUUUGGCCAAUGAUGCCUCACAGACAGUCCAUACCUGAAGUGAUAUUAGUUCUGCCCUCUUCUACCAACACCACACUGAAGGCCACCCCUUGGUCUUCUCCGUGCUGUUUCUGGGGUGCUCCACGCAGACUGGCACUGAACAGAGCCAGCGUCUCGUACUGGCACUGUUUGGUCCAGACUUAUGGGAUGCUCCUUGGCUCUGGGCUGCAGAUGGAAGAACGUGCUGUGUCCAAAUUUAUUUUUGAAAUGAUAUCGUUGCAGUUGAACUGCUUUUUUUGUCUUGAAGUCCUUUAGACUUUAAAAGAGUAAGACCUCUUUUGUACCUCGGGCAGUCUGCAAAUUACAAAUAAAAUUACAGCUAUUGUUGAAAUUGCA
rnacentral:lncRNA from 1 species